GAUCUCAUGGAAGAGCAAAAGGAGAAGAAACCACCAAUGAAAUCAAGGAAAAAUCUUAGGAAAUGGUAUAAACAUGGAGAGGCAACCGGACACCAUUGUGGAUGAAAGUUGGUGGGGAGUGCAAGUUUGAAUCUAGGAUGACUAGUUGUAUUGCUUGGUUCCCAAAACAAGGUCCGUUUGGGAUGAGCCUUUUCAUAGGUGUUGUCGACUCUUAGAGAUUGUUGCUGGAGAAAGAGGAAUUCAUUCAAAAUUGGGAAACUCAGUAGGAAAGCCAGUGAAUGAAGGAUCGCCAUCAUGAGUAACUUAUGGCUUACGCCGAAAAAAUUGUGGAAGGUGAGGACUAGGGACAAAGUGGAAAGGCGAGUUCAAGAAGGGUGUUGUAGGCAUGAUUUUCAACAUGGUUUUAGGAUAUCUGUCUGUUGUGUUCUGACUCAAAUUGACUGGUCAUAGAGGAAAGCUCAUCUUAGAUAAAAUUUGUGCGUCCACUGUCUGCACGACAUGGCGUAAAGCUGCUAAAUCUCUUCAAGUUGGGAGAAACCAUCCUUGGGUUAUCACAUUCUCGAAACGUGACAAAAUUAAGAGACUUUAGAUUUCGUGAUCACCAAGACUCGUAUGGGAGGGAUUUAGCUGCAAUAGAGACAUGACGAUGUUGAGACAUGGAAGAGGUAAAAAAAUCAGGAUUGGUGAGCGAGUGAAUGAAGAGAUAUUUUCAAAGAGGCCAUUAAAAGGAGUUAUAAACAAGCAUGAAAGGAAAAACUUUAUUAGGAUUUCUCAACGAACUACAUCAAAGCUAUAGUGAAUUUUCAGAAACUGAGAGGAGAGAACAUUGAGAGCCAGAGGAGAGAAGCUCAAGAAAAUCUGCAACAGCAGAGGUUUUAGGUAAAGAUAUUGAAACAACACAAAAUUAUAUUUUUUUGCAGAUAAUGAUUCAAAGAAUAGAACAAAAAAAAGAAGAUACUACACUAUUUUAGUUUCAGUUGUGACUUCUCAUUUGAUUUUAUGGUUUUAAUCUAAUUAUUCUCAAGCUA